GUCCACGCCGUAAACGGUGGGCGCUAGGUGUGGGUUUCCUUCCACGGGAUCCGUGCCGUAGCUAACGCAUUAAGCGCCCCGCCUGGGGAGUACGGCCGCAAGGCUAAAACUCAAAGGAAUUGACGGGGGCCCGCACAAGCGGCGGAGCAUGUGGAUUAAUUCGAUGCAACGCGAAGAACCUUACCUGGGUUUGACAUAUACCGGAAAGCCGUAGAGAUACGGCCCCCCUUGUGGUCGGUAUACAGGUGGUGCAUGGCUGUCGU
rnacentral:rRNA from 1 species